UAUAAUGGAGAGGAGUGCCCUUAUGGGGAAAGUUGUAAUUUUCUUCACGAGGAUCCAUCAAAGUUUAGGGAUGAUGCAAGGAGGUCUAGGGAGAGUUCUGCAAUAAGUAUUGGGACUACUGGGCAGCCAGUGGUACACGGAAUUGGUAGUUUGAAUACAACUGAAGGAAGUCAAUAAGCCUAUCAAUAACGCUGGUUCAGAUGCUACUCGUGCGAAUAUGAAGCCUGUGUAUUGGAAGACAAAGUUGUGCACUAAGUGGGAGACUACAGGUCAAUGCCCCUUCGGCGAGAAAUGUCACUUUGCUCAUGGACAAGCUGAGUUGCAAGUUCCUGGUGGACGCGUCGAAGGGGAAGCAGGGAAUGCUGGCUCCAUUUUGACCAAACCACCACCUAUUAUUGGUAAUCAUGUAUCUCCAAUUAUGACUGC
rnacentral:misc_RNA from 1 species